GUUGCGUUUCCAAGGGGAAGCCGGAGCGGCGUUGCUGGGCCCGAGUCCCGGCGGCGGCGGCGGCGGGGGAAGCCAGCGAGGCCCGGCCCGGUCUGGUGUGGCCGGCAGCGGGGGCGGGACCAUGAGCUUGGCCUUGAGGAACGAACUUGCAGUAGACAAAACUAAAAGGAAGAAAAGAAGAGAACUGACUGAAGAGCAGAAGCAGGAAAUUAAAGAUGCUUUUGAACUGUUUGAUGCAGACAAAGAUAAAGCAAUAGAUUAUCACGAAUUAAAGGUGGCAAUGAGAGCCUUGGGUUUUGAUGUAAAAAAGGCUGAUGUGCUAAAAAUACUUAAAGAUUAUGAUCGAGAAGCAACAGGAAAAAUCACAUUUGAAGAUUUUAAUGAAGUUGUGACAGACUGGAUAUUGGACAGAGAUCCACAAGAAGAGAUACUCAAAGCAUUCAAAUUAUUUGAUGAUGAUGAUUCAGGUAAAAUAAGCCUGCGAAACCUACGACGUGUUGCUAGAGAACUUGGUGAAAACAUGACAGAUGAGGAACUGCGGGCUAUGAUUGAAGAAUUUGAUAAAGAUGGAGAUGGAGAAAACAGAGGCAUCAAAUGCAGCCUUUUCCUCCACCCAGUUCCAUAGUGCUGACAUUAUCUGGUGAAUGGUGUGUCGGAUGAGCAACUCUGAUUCAACUGCUAUCCUUGUGGCUAUGCUCCAGGUCGCAGAGAUUCUGUGUUGCACAGACUCGUGGUCAAACUGAAAAAAAAAAUGUCACACCAUACUUCUUACUCCAGGGUUACCACCCUUGUAGGUUUGGAAAAUCUUUGUUCACUUCAUUAUAAGACACUUUUGUAUACCUUCUAAACUGGAUUCUGGCAGCAAAGAGGAACAGAUUACAUAUUGUGAUACAGCAGAAAGGUCAUCAUUCAACUCUAGAAGCUGUUAGAAACCUGAGUAAGGAAAUAUAUUUCUCUAAGUCAGCAAAGGCUGACGGAUCAAUACCUGGUAGUGUCUCUGCUAGAAGAAACCUUGAAGCAACUUUGCUGCAUCACUGUAUUGUUUGGUGAUUCAACUGAAGUCACAGACUGAAAACCCAUCAUUAAAUAAAAGGAGCUGGAUAGGAAUGACUCUUAAUCAUUGCAGUUAGCUGGUGCUGUUUUAGCUACAAAUGUUCCGAAGUGUGGCUUCACCUUGUAGAGACAUGAACUCCUUCUGACAUGAACUACGAGGAGAGCUAUGUUUGCUCUGUCAUACUGCACCUUGCUGUCCUAAGAAUGUUGCAUGCUGAAAAUUCAAAUGCACGUUGAAAUCAAAAGGAAUCUUUUACAAUGACUUUCACUGACACUGGAGCACCUUGUAGGCUUUUCCAGUGAACUUUGCCCUCCUGGCUGCCCAGUAGGUCUGCUUCUAUUGGAGGACUUGGGGUGGUGUGGCCUGGUAGUUACAGAACUUCUAAAUUAUGCCCACCGUUAGAAGAUCCAAGAAAUAUCGGAAGCAUCUGUCCACAAAACUGUAAGGCCACAAUGCUGAUGUAUGUCAACACCUCUUCACGGAGCCUCCAGAUGAGUACGUAUAACAAACAGUUCUUCUCAGAUGCAGUACAUACAAAUAAUAAAUCUUCGUUAUAGGGUUAAGUGUUCUUUUAUAUGUUUAGCUCUUUCUCUGAUUGCAUCCAGUCCAGGUCUUGUUUUUAUUUCCACAGUAGAAUUUUUCAUUUCUUCCACUCUUUGACUGGGGCUUUUAGACACUAUCAUGUGUAUCCCUCAGCAGGCCUAACUGGGUUUCUUUCCUCCAGAAACCUGUAAAUAGUUUUCAGCAGCAUUCUUACAGUAUUUUUAGCAGUUGGAACAAAGAUUAGAGAAUAAGGAGUUUUAAAAUAACACAUAGCUUACAUGCAUAUUUAGUCUCAAGCAUGGAUAUAAUUUGAAUGUAAUUAUUUCUUGCUUCAUAGCCUGAAAAUAUAUUUAGGACAACAGUCAGGGAAAGAAGUACAAAAACAAAACACUGUAAGUGCAUCUUGUCUUUUGUUGCAUUUUAUCUUACGCAUAUUAACACAACCGUCUAAUGUACAAAGGCUAGUAUGUCUCACUAAAUGCAUAAACCAAAAGUGGUGAUUAGAUAAUCUCAAACUGAAGCCUGAUUAGGUUAAUACUAAAGGGAUCAGUAAUUGCUAACAUACAUACAUGCACACAUGACUGCCUACUAAAAAGAUGAACCUGAUAGAAAGAAUACUUUUAUUGUAGUGCAGUUAAUGCAAGUGCUACAUGUUAAACAAAGUACUCCAUUAGGAAACAUCAGAUAAGAGGAUAACACUGUUAAAAGAAUAAAUGGUCUCUAGUGUUUAUAAACUGCAGUCUUAAGCAAGUAUGUCAUAAAGCAAUUGUUAAUAUAACCCUUCAAAAUUAAAAAUAGUUGCUGGCUUUUUAACUUCCUAACAAAUAUAAUAAAUAUAUCUGGUGCAUAGCUUGCUGCAUACAGUAGGUAUUGUUUUAUUCAAGAAAAAAGCUCACGCAGAGUUAUCUUUAAGUGCUCAUUCUAAGACAGCAUUUUAAUUGAGAGAUGAAAAAAUAGUUUGAUAUUUUCCUGUACAUUAGAUUAUAUUAAAUCAGAAGGUUAUUUUUAUUUUCCAGUUUGUAAAUAUUGGGAGAUACCAGGAGACAGCUAUAAUGUAAUUUGUAAUAUUGAUCUUUUUAAAAGCUGUUUUUUUCUGCAUUUGGGAGAAAGCAUAUGAACCACGGCACUUUGUGGUGGGGAGUCAAACAGAAAGGAAAAUACAACGCCAGAUCUUGAAUUCUUUAUCAGGAGAAAAUUGUGCUGUGAGUAUUUACAUUAGUAUUACCCAGAACAGAACUUGGCCUUCAGUUUUCAGUGAAUCAGAACUCCCAGUACAGUCAAUGAGAGAUCUGCCUGAGUAGAUAUUUCAGGAUUUGCUCCACUGAAGUCAUGCCUUUAGAUAGGAUUUUUUGGGGGACAUGAAACAUGGUGCAAAAUAAAGGCACAUUUCCCUCUUCUACUACACACACAAACAUUGCUGCCAUAGCUCCUAUUCAAUAGCUUUGCUAGGUGAACUUGAGCAGGGAGUGAACUGGACAGAAAGGCAGAACUGAAGAACUAGCCACUCACUACAGCUCCUUUCACUAAAUACACAGUAAUCCUAUGAUAUAUUUAGCUUUGUAAAUAACUUGAUGGGAGCUGCAAUCAUUUUCUUUUUAUAAAUGUUGGAUGCAGUAUGCAUUCCUGGAGGAUGAAUGUAGAGUAGGAGGAGAUGGAAGGCUUUGAAAAGGGUCUAGGUACCAUUAAGAAGGCUAUGAGUUCAGUUAUCAAGAGAAUGCGUAAGGGAAUACUUCCUGCUGUUGACCCCAAAAUACCAUUUUUUGUAGGUGGGAAGCACAGCUCGUACAGGUCCCCUUGUCUGUUUUCUUUCCAGGAUUUCUGCCUGCAUAGUGCAGCUGCCCAGAAGAAGAACCUGAGGUCACACAAACAAAUUCAAGUUUGGGCAAAAGCAGUGUAAUCUUCCAUGGUUAGUAUUGGAGAUAGUGGACAGUUAUUCACCAGAACUUGUACUUGGAAUAAACUGAUUUUAAAGCAGUAACUGGAAAACUGUCUGAGCAACAACCUUGGGUCCCUUACAACCAGUCUGGGCAAGAUUCAUAAGUUAGAGAUAAAAAAGACUGCACAUUACCAAAGAUUGGGGUAUUUUAAUGGAUCUGAGUUUAUGCAACUCACUUCUGUAGUUUACAUUAAAAAUCCUGGAUAAACUUAUCUGUGGGAUAAAGAGGAAGCUAGAGGAAAGUGGGAACCAAUUCUGAGUUAUAUUAGUAGAGAGAAAAUAGAAAUCUUGAUGGACAGCCAGAGCCCUGAUGUGGUACAUGAAAGUCAUUUAGGGCUCCAUCCAACUCACGCUAAAGUGAAAGGAAAGAUUUCUGCUGACUACAAUGGGGAUUGGUGAAGGGCCUGACAUACUUAAUAUGAGGAGAAAAAUAAAAAGAUAUGGGAAGGAAAUCAUGUUUUUUUACACUUCUAAUUGUUAUCUGUGUGUGUUGUUUUUUUAAUGAUAUUUGGGUUUUCAAGAGAACGGGGGAUAAAAAGGAUAUAAUUUAUGUCUUUUCUCCCCCUGAAAACCUUAUUAUACAUUAUUAAGAAAUUAAAAUGGAUAAAAGAAGAAUUUUAAAUUCAAUCUUUGAAUAUUUUUGUUAUAUAUGAGAACAUGUGCAUACAUCUGUCCAUCAGUCUUUGUUAUGCGUUACACACAAACAUGACAAACAUACAUAUACAUUCUUAAACGUUUCACAUGGGUGUCAGGAACUUGUGUCCUGUCCCUUUUGGGCUUUAAUAUAGAUAUGAGGGUAUUUUUCUUUAGUUUCAUAUCUUAAAAAAAUAUUAUGUUAUCCAUUGAGGCUUGUCUGCAACUUAUCAGGAAUUAUUCAAUCAUAAUAGCCUUUAUUGAUUAAACCGACUAUUCAUUUAUUCUUUCCCCCAACGUUACCAAGGAUUUCAUCUUUAUGUAGCUGACAUGCCUCUAAAUGCAAUAUCACCAUUAUAGUUGUAUUCCAUAGCUGCUUAUUUUGAUUCAGAGUUUACAUUUAUGAAAGUCUCCUAUAAUUUUCAGAUUUCUCUACCUCAUUCUUCUCCAAAUUUCAAAACAAUUUUUUUUUUGCCACGAUCCUCCAAUAUGUGGUGAGUAUUUUUUAAUUUUAUCCAGCCAUCCUUUGUUAAUAUAAAACAGAUGUUUGCUUUUCUAACAUGUCUCUUUGCAUCUUUCUUCAUAGUUCUUGCUCCACAUUAUAUUUCAUAAAGCGCUCUUUUAUUUUAUAUUUAUAUACA